rnacentral:rRNA from 1 species
GACGAACGCUGGCGGCGUGCUUAACACAUGCAAGUCGAGCGGUAAGGCCCUUUCGGGGGUACACGAGCGGCGAACGGGUGAGUAACACGUGGGUGACCUGCCCUCAGCUCUGGGAUAAGCCUGGGAAACCGGGUCUAAUACCGGAUAUGACUCCAUGACGCAUGUUGUGGGGUGGAAAGCCUUGUGCGGCUGAGGAUGGGCCCGCGGCCUAUCAGCUUGUUGGUGGGGUGAUGGCCUACCAAGGCGACGACGGGUAGCCGGCCUGAGAGGGCGACCGGCCACACUGGGACUGAGACACGGCCCAGACUCCUACGGGAGGCAGCAGUGGGGAAUCUUGCGCAAUGGGCGAAAGCCUGACGCAGCGACGCCGCGUGAGGGAUGACGGCCUCGGUGUAACGUAC